AAGAAGAAGAAGAAGAAGAAGAAGAAGAAGAAGAAGAAAGAUAAAGAAGAAUAGUGUUGAACUUGAUUUCCUUUUAGUAUGAAGAAGAAGAAAUAAGAGUCUUGUGGAAGAAUAAGAGAGACAAUUUUCUUGGAUGUGGAAGAGAGAUGUUAGGGUUUUGUGUUUUGAACGAGACAAUUAUUCUUUAUUGAAGCUUGAUAACUUCACUUAUAUAUAUAUAUAAAACUUAUCACCACGGUUGGUAUGAAAAAUUG
rnacentral:lncRNA from 1 species